ACGCACGCUGGCGGCAGGCCUCACACAUGCCAGUCGCGCGGACCCUUCGGGGUUAGCGGCGGACGGGUGAGUAACGCGUGGGAAUAUGCCCUUCUCUACGGAAUAGUCCUGGGAAACUGGGGGUAAUACCGUAUACGCCCUUUGGGGGAAAGAUUUAUCGGGGAAGGAUUAGCCCGCGUUGGAUUAGGUAGUUGGUGGGGUAAUGGCCUACCAAGCCGACGAUCCAUAGCUGGUUUGAGAGGAUGAUCAGCCACACUGGGACUGAGACACGGCCCAGACUCCUACGGGAGGCAGCAGUGGGGAAUCUUAGACAAUGGGGGCAACCCUGAUCUAGCCAUGCCGCGUGAGUGAUGAAGGCCUUAGGGUUGUAAAGCUCUUUCAGCUGGGAAGAUAAUGACGGUACCAGCAGAAGAAGCCCCGGCUAACUCCGUG
rnacentral:rRNA from 1 species